rnacentral:rRNA from 1 species
GAAUUCGAUUAACGCGAAGAACCUUACCCAGGCUUGAACAGCGAGUGACCACUCCCGAAAGGGAGCUUCCGCAAGGACACUCGUAGAGGUGCUGCAUGGCUGUCGUCAGCUCGUGUCGUGAGAUGUUGGGUUAAGUCCCGCAACGAGCGCAACCCUUGUUUGCUGUUGCCAUCACGUUAUGGUGGGCACUCUGCAAAGACUGCCGGUGAUAAACCGGAGGAAGGUGGGGAUGACGUCAAGUCAGCAUGGCCUUUAUGUCUGGGGCUACACACGUGCUACAAUGGCCGGUACAAACCGUCGCGAUACCGUAAGGUGGAGCUAAUCGGAGAAAGCCGGUCUCAGUUCGGAUUGUCGGCUGCAACUCGCCGGCAUGAAGUUGGAAUCGCUAGUAAUCGCGGAUCAGCACGCCGCGGUGAAUACGUUCCCGGGCCUUGUCACACCGAAUCACUA